UGAUCCUGGCUCAGGAUGAACGCCGGCGGUGUGCCUAAUACAUGCAAGUCGUACGCACUGGCCCAACUGAUUGAUGGUGCUUGCACCUGAUUGACGAUGGAUCACCUGUGAGUGGCGGACGGGUGAGUAACACGUAGGUAACCUGCCCCGGAGCGGGGGAUAACAUUUGGAAACAGAUGCUAAUACCGCAUAACAACAAAAGCCACAUGGCUUUUGUUUGAAAGAUGGCUUUGGCUAUCACUCUGGGAUGGACCUGCGGUGCAUUAGCUAGUUGGUAAGGUAGCGGCUUACCAAGGCGAUGAUGCAUAGCCGAGUUGAGAGACUGAUCGGCCACAAUGGAACUGAGACACGGUCCAUACUCCUACGGGAGGCAGCAGUAGGGAAUCCUCCACAAUGGGCGCAAGCCUGAUGGAGCAACACCGCGUGAGUGAAGAAGGGUUUCGGCUCGUAAAGCUCUGUUGUUGGAGAAGAACGUGCGUGAGAGUAACUGUUCACGCAGUGACGGUAUCCAACCAGAA
rnacentral:rRNA from 1 species